GACGAACGCUGGCGGCGUGCUUAACACAUGCAAGUCGAACGGAAAGGCCCUGCUUUUGUGGGGUGCUCGAGUGGCGAACGGGUGAGUAACACGUGAGUAACCUGCCCUUGACUUUGGGAUAACUUCAGGAAACUGGGGCUAAUACCGGAUAGGAGCUCCUGCUGCAUGGUGGGGGUUGGAAAGUUUCGGCGGUUGGGGAUGGACUCGCGGCUUAUCAGCUUGUUAGUGGGGUAGUGGCUUACCAAGGCUUUGACGGGUAGCCGGCCUGAGAGGGUGACCGGCCACAUUGGGACUGAGAUACGGCCCAGACUCCUACGGGAGGCAGCAGUGGGGAAUAUUGCACAAUGGGCGGAAGCCUGAUGCAGCAACGCCGCGUGCGGGAUGACGGCCUUCGGGUUGUAAACCGCUUUCGCCUGUGACGAAGCGUGAGUGACGGUAAUGGGUAAAGAAACACCGGCUAACUACGUG
rnacentral:rRNA from 1 species